UUUGGUCAUUUUAACCUUAAGUUUAAUAAUUUAACUCACCUCACUUCAGAUUUUCCUUACGCUCGUUCGAACAACCUAUCUUCCCUCCUCGCCCAACCCACCACCUCCGUGUGACAGAGUACUCGUCCGCCGCUCUCAGCCGCCCUCUCUAUCGUCUCUCCGGUCCACUGGUUUGGUGCAUCAAUGGCAGUGCAAACAGCGGAGAUUGCUAGAUAGUUCUAUACACCUAUCACUAUCAUGAUAAGAAAGAAGAUUAUUACCUGUGCUGGUGGAUUGGAAAGGAUAGUAUUGAGGGCUCUUUUGUGCGUUUACUGCUCAAGUAAAUUUGUAUUUCGUAAUGAAUGGUGUCCUUAACACAUAAAACAGAAUGGAUGCCCCAUAGUGAAAGCACAACAUAUUCCAUCCAAAUUAGUGCCAUACAAUGCUGGAUUCCUGCUCUCAAGUACUUAUCUAUAUUCAAGUAAAAACAUCUUUCAAGUUACACUAUAUGCAACUGUUUUGAAUGAAACAACCUCUAUAUCUCAUCAAAUUCUUAGACUGGUAUUUACGGCACUUAGGUGAAGUUAUAAUGUUUGUGUUACUUAUUUGACUGAAAUGUUUGUGUUUCUUCUCAUGAGAUACCACUGUUAUUCACCGAAUGAUUCACGGA